CCUACGGGUGGCAGCAGUGAGGAAUAUUGGUCAAUGGACGAGAGUCUGAACCAGCCAAGUAGCGUGAAGGAUGACUGCCCUAUGGGUUGUAAACUUCUUUUAUAUGGGAAUAAAAUGUUCCACGUGUGGGAUUUUGUAUGUACCAUAUGAAUAAGGAUCGGCUAACUCCGUGCCAGCAGCCGCGGUAAUACGGAGGAUCCUAGCGUUAUCCGGAUUUAUUGGGUUUAAAGGGAGCGUAGGUGGAUUGUUAAGUCAGUUGUGAAAGUUUGCGGCUCAACCGUAAAAUUGCAGUUGAAACUGGCAGUCUUGAGUACAGUAGAGGUGGGCGGAAUGCGUGGUGUAGCGGUGAAAUGCUUAGAUAUCACGAAGAACUCCGAUUGAGAAGGCAGUUCACUGGACUGCAACUGACACUGAGGCUCGAAAGUGUGGGUAUCAAACAGGAUUAGAUACCCGAGUAGUC
rnacentral:rRNA from 1 species